GCAAAAGGGUGUCAACAGAGGGGCAAAAUUUGAGAUUAGAUUUAUCUGCUAAGUUCCAUGAUGCAAUCAAGGAUGUGAGCAACAAGUUAGAGGAACAGAAAGAGGAAUGUUUCUCACAGUUGAAGGAGAAUGAGAUGUUAAGAAAUAAGCUGAAACAACUAGCUGAUCAGUAUGCUCUUUCUGAACAACAAUAUGCACAGAAGUUAAAACAGAAAACACUGGAACUUCAGCUUGCUGAUUUGAAGAUCAAGCAACAUGAAGAGAAAUUGAUCCAGGAGCAGUCUCACAUGAAAGUGUAUGCUGAACAGGUGGCACAAUUAUUGGUGACAGAAAAGAAUUUGCGCUGGCAGUUGACAGCUGAUGGAGAAAAAUUCCAACAAUUCCAGGAGGCAUUGUUAAAGAGCAAUGAGGUUUUUGAAACAUUUAAGCAAGAGAUUGAGAAGAUGGCAAAAUCAAUCAAGGAACUGAAGAAGGAAAAUGUUUUCUUGAAGAGCAAAUCUGAGAAAUCAGAUGUUACUCUCAUAGAACUUGUUGAGGAGCGUGAGAAGUUGAAGAUGCAACUGGAGAAAACCAAGAAUCAAAAAGAGAAGUUGGAAUCAUUGUGCCGAUCACUUCAGGCAGAAAGGAAGCAGAAUUCUAAUGGGGGCAACGCCCAUGAUGCAGUUCAACCAUCCAAGAUCACUGAGAUUAAGCAUGUAUGAAUAGCAAUGAAGGAUUUUGUCAGUAUUGCUUCAAAUUAUGUUUCGUACUUUGUUUCCACUUAAUCAGCUUGCCAAGGAAAUUCACAGGGAUCAAAUGUAACUCUACGAGCAUAAUUUUAUACUUCUCCGGAAAAAAUACUCCUUUUCUUUUUCGUCCUUGACCCAAAAUAAUCAUUCGGUUAUGGCAAUUGAAUUGUACCACUCUAGCUUCUACUUUUAC
rnacentral:misc_RNA from 1 species